rnacentral:rRNA from 1 species
UACGGAGGAUCCAAGCGUUAUCCGGAAUCAUUGGGUUUAAAGGGUUCGUAGGCGGUUUAAUAAGUCAGUGGUGAAAUCUCCUAGCUUAACUAGGAAAUGGCCAUUGAUACUGUUAGACUUGAAUUAUUGGGAAGUAACUAGAAUAUGUAGUGUAGCGGUGAAAUGCUUAGAUAUUACAUUGAAUACCAAUUGCGAAGGCAGGUUACUAUCAAUGCAUUGACGCUGAUGAACGAAAGCGUGGGUAGCGAACAGG